rnacentral:rRNA from 1 species
ACACAUGCAAGUCGAGGGCCCCGCAAGGGGAGCGGCAGACGGGUGAGUAACGCGUGGGAACCUACCCUUUACUACGGAAUAACGCAGGGGAACUUGUGCUAAUACCGUAUGUGCCCUUCGGGGGAAAGAUUUAUCGGUGAAGGAUGAGCCCGCGUUGGAUUAGGUAGUUGGUGGGGUAAAGGCCUACCAAGGCGACGAUCCAUAGCUGGUCUGAGAGGAUGAUCAGCCACAUUGGGACUGAGACACGGCCCAAACUCCUACGGGAGGCAGCAGUGGGGAAUAUUGGACAAUGGGCGCAAGCCUGAUCCAGCCAUGCCGCGUGAGUGAUGAAGGCCCUAGGGUUUGUAAAGCUCUUUCACCGGAGAAGAUAAUGACGGUAUCCGGAGAAGAAGCCCCGGCUAACUUCGUGCCAGCAGCCGCGGUAAU